GACUGCUCCGGUGGCCUAGUGGUUAGUGUCCGCUUCGGAUGCGUGAGGUCGCGGGAUCAAGCGCCGGCUGAGUCA